AGCAGCCGCGGUAAUUCCAGCUCCAAUAGCGUAUAUUAAAGUUGUUGCAGUUAAAAGCUCGUAGUUGAAUUUCGGGGUCAAUACGUCGGUCGUGCCUCGGUACGCACUGACGUUAUUGAUCCCUCCCUUCUGACGGACCGUGAUGUCAUUAAUUUGGUGUUGCGGGGAAUCAGGACUGUUACCUUGAAAAAUUAGAGUGUUUAAAGCAGGCAAUCGCUCGAAUACAUUAGCAUGGAAUAAUGAAAUAGGACGUUCGAACCUAUUUUGUUGGUUUCUAGGAUCGACGUAAUGAUUAAUAGGGAUAGUUGGGGGCAUUAGUAUUCAAUUGUCAGAGGUGAAAUUCUUGGAUUUAUUGAAGACUAACUAC
rnacentral:rRNA from 1 species